UACAGAGGCCUCAAGCGUUGUUCGGAUUCAUUGGGCGUAAAGGGUGCGUAGGUGGCGCUGUAAGUCAGGUGUGAAAUUUCGGAGCUCAACUCCGAAACUGCAUUUGAUACUGCGGUGCUUGAGGACUGGAGAGGAGAUUGGAAUUCACGGUGUAGCAGUGAAAUGCGUAGAUAUCGUGAGGAAGACCAGCGGCGAAGGCGGAUCUCUGGACAGUUCCUGACACUGAGGCACGAAGGCCAGGGGAGCAAACGGG
rnacentral:rRNA from 1 species